rnacentral:misc_RNA from 1 species
GAUGAAGAAUGUAGCGAAAUGCGAUACGUAAUGUGAAUUGCAGAAUUCAGUGAAUCAUCGAGUCUUUGAACGCACAUUGCGCCCCCUGGUAUUCCGGGGGGCAUGCCUGUCCGAGCGUCAUUGCUGCCCUCAAGCACGGCUUGUGUGUUGGGCCUCCGUCCUCCUCCCGGGGGACGGGCCCGAAAGGCAGCGGCGGCACCGCGUCCGGUCCUCGAGCGUAUGGGGCUUCGUCACCCGCUCUUGUAGGCCCGGCCGGCGCUUGCCGACACAUCAAUCUUUUUUCCAGGUUGACCUCGGAUCAGGUAGGGAUACCCGCUGAACUUAAGCAUAUCAAUAAGCGGAGGA